rnacentral:lncRNA from 1 species
UUUUAAAGUCAUAAAUUGAAUGAAAAUGAUAGCAAAGGUGGAGGUUUUUAAAGAGCUAUUUAUAGGUCCCUGGACAGCAUCUUUUUUCAAUUAGGCAGCAACCUUUUUGCCCUAUGCCAUAACCUGUGUCUGCAACUUCCUCUAAUUGGGAAAUAGUUAAGCAGAUUCAUAGAGCUGAAUGAUAAAAUUGUACUACGAGAUGCACUGGGACUCAAUGUGACCUUAUCAAGUGAGGCAGGCUUGGUGCAUUUGACACUUCAUGAAAUCAGCCAAAGUGGAACUAAAAACAGCUCCUGGAAGAGGACUAUGACGUCAUCAGGUUGGGAGUCUCCAGGGACAGCGGACCCUUUGUAAAACGACUAGAAAGUGUGAAAUCUAUCAGUCUUCGAUAUGAAAUUCUCUGUCUCCGUAAAAGCAUUUCAUAUUUGCAAGACACAGGCCUACUCCUAGGGCAGCAAAAAGUGGCAACAGGCAAGCAGAGGGAAAAGAGAUCAUGAAGCAUUUCAGAGUGCACUGUCUUUUCAUAUAUUUCUCAAUGCCGUAUGUUUGGUUUUAUUUUGGCCAAGCAUAACAAUCUGCUGGAGAAAACAAAGGUGCCUUUGCCAAUAUCAUGUUUCUUUUUGACAAGCCCUGAGAUUUCUGAGGGGAAUUCACAUAAAUGGGAUCAGGUCAUUCAUUUACGUUGUGUGCAAAUAUGAUUUAAAGAUACAACCUUUGCAGAGAGCAUGCUUUCCUAAGGGUAGGCGCGUGGAGGACUAAGGGUAAAGCAUUCUUCAAUAUCAGUUAAUCAAGAAAGGUGCUCUUUGCAUUCUGAAAUGCCCUUGUUGCAAAUAUUGGUUAUAUUGAUUAAAUUUACACUUAAUGGAAACAACCUUUAACUUACAGAUGAACAAACCCCACAAAAGCAAAAAAUCAAAAGCCCUACCUAUGAUUUCAUAUUUUCUGUGUAACUGGAUUAAAGGAUUCCUGCUUGCUUUUGGGCAUAAACGAUUAUGGAAUAUUUCCAAGUAUUGUUUAAAAUGAUGGCCCAUCUACAAAUUCUUAGCAAUACUUUGGAUAAUUCUAAAAUUCAGCUGGACAUUGUCUAAUUGUUUUUUAUAUACAUCUUUGCUUGAAUUUCAAAUUUUAAGUAUGUGAAUUUAGUUAAUUAGCUGUGCUGAUCAAUUCAAAAACAUUACUUUCCCAAAUUUUAGACUAUGAAGGUCGUAAAUUCAACAAAUAUAUCUACACACACAAUUAUAGAUUGUUUUUCAUUAUAAUGUCUUCAUCUUAACAAAAUUGUCUUUGUGAUUGUUUUUAGAAAACUGAGAGUUUUAAUUCAUAAUUACUUGAUCAAAAAAUUGUGGGAACAAUCCAGCAUUAAUUGUAUGUGAUUCUUUUUAUGUACAUAAGGAGUCUUAAGCUUGGCGCCUUGAAGUCUUUUGUACUUAGUCCCAUGUUUAAAAUUACUACUUUAUAUCUAAAGCAUUUAUGUUUUUCAAUUCAAUUUACAUGAUGCUAAUUAUGGCAAUUAUAACAAAUAUUAAAGAUUUUGAAAUAGAA